CCUACGGGAGGCAGCAGUAGGGAAUAUUGCUCAAUGGGGGAAACCCUGAAGCAGCAACGCCGCGUGGAGGAUGAAGGUUUUCGGAUUGUAAACUCCUUUUGUUAGAGAAGAUAAUGACGUUAUCUAACGAAUAAGCACCGGCUAACUCCGUGCCAGCAGCCGCGGUAAUACGGAGGGUGCAAGCGUUACUCGGAAUCACUGGGCGUAAAGAGCGCGUGGGCGGGAUAGCAAGUCAGAUGUGAAAUCCUAGGGCUUAACCAUAGAACUGCAUUUGAAACUGUUAUUCUAGAGUAUGGGAGAGGUAGGUGGAAUUCUUGGUGUAGGGGUAAAAUCCGUAGAGAUCAAGAGGAAUACUCAUUGCGAAGGCGACCUGCUAGAACAUAACUGACGCUGAUGCGCGAAAGCGUGGGGAGCAAACAGGAUUAGAUACCCUAGUAGUC
rnacentral:rRNA from 1 species